AUCCAGGUGACGAGUUUUAAAUAGGACGAAACGCGCUUCCUGGAU
rnacentral:hammerhead_ribozyme from 1 species